CGGUGUGUAACCUGCUUUGGGAGCAGGGGGUCGUGGGUUCGAAUCCCGCUACCCCGA
rnacentral:tRNA from 1 species